AGAUUUAGCCAUGCAUGUGUAAGCGAAGCUAUAUGUKGAKCGGUGAAAGGCUCAGUAACGGGCGAUUUAUUUUAAUCUCCUGKGACGGACCACAUCGGGAAACUGAUGGGAAAACGUCUAAGUUGCAUUAAUAUUAGUGUGACGUAAACGGUAAUCGUGCAGGAGAGUAAGAUGCCAUCCUAUCAGUUAGUAAGUAGGGUAAGGGCCUACUUAGACGAAGACGGGUACGGGGAAUGAGGGUUUGAUUCCGGAGAGGGAGCCUGAGAGAUGGCUACCAGGACCAAGGUCAGCAGCAGGCGCGAAAAUUAUCGAAGCCCGCCUAGGGGCGAUAGUGAGGAGACGUGUAUAACGAAGUACGUGUAAAGAACGUACUAAUAACUGGAGGUCAAGUCUGGUGCCAGCAUCCGCGGUAAUUCCAGCUCCAGGGGUGUCUAUGAUGAUUGCUGCGAUUAAAAAGUCCGUAGUCAAGCUGACUGACUGACCUGCAAUGUGAUUGAUCAAAGAACGAGCAGGGUUAGGAAAGCAGAGAAUUAGGAGCGACCGAGGGCUAGAGUAUUGAAUGGCGAGAGGUGAAAUUUGAUGACCCAUUCAGGAGUGACAAAGGCGAAGGCACUAGUCAAGGGCGAAUCCGAUGAUCACGGACGUAGGCUAGAGUUUCGAAAACGAUUAGAGACCGGAGUAGUUCUAGCAGUAAACUAUGCCGACGCCGUGAUAUUGUUUUUUGUGGCAGUAUUGCGGAUGAGAAUCAAGUUAAGGCUUUGGGGGAGAGUACGCGCGUAGCGAUAAAUUUAAUGGCAAUUGACGGAAGACACACAGGAGUGAGUGUGCGGCUUAUUUGACUCACGCGGGACAGCUUACCAA
rnacentral:rRNA from 1 species